UGUAAUACCCGAAUUUUUAGAUGAAUAAAUAAAUAAAAUAAAAAUAACAACAUAGGGGCAAAAUGGUCAUUUUGCCCCUACUCUUAUCCAAGGGGUCUAGUUGUUUGGGCUCCAAGAAGAAAGAGAGAGAAAAGAAAAGAAAAAGAGUGAGAAUGGAGAAAGGAGAAGAAGUUAGGGUUUGGGAGAGAGGAAGAACAGAGAUGACAAAUAGCCAUUGGAGAUCGAAUCCAAGGCAAGAAACUUCGAAGCAAUACUUCUCCCAGUGCUGGAAAAGGAGUUCGGGUGGUGGAAUCCACUCAUUCCGGCAAGAAAAUCCGAGAACGGACAAAGUUCUUGAAGUUCUUGGACGAGAAUCGGACGAAAAUCAGAGUUUAGUCUUGACUUCUGGUGAAGCGAUCGAAAAUAGAAAAUGAGGAGAGAGAGGAGGCCUUGCCGCCACGCGUCUGCCGGCGUAUGGAGGAGUGCGGUGGGACCGACGAGUGACACGUGGUGACCGCGGGUUGGGGAGGCGUGCCCCACUGGCUAUUCGACACGCGUCAGGGCGCGGAUUCGGGUCAACCCGAGUCCGAUCCGGCGCUCCGCACGCGACCCAGGAACACCGAACCGAACCGGCCGCUGGCCCUCGACUGCGCGGGAAGCCGUGCGUGGACACGCGCGCGUAAAACACCCUCUAGAGCGCGUGUAGGCGCGUGGGUGAUCUUUUUCCCUCCGUUCGACCUCCGUUUGCUUGUUUUUCGCCUCGAUUUCAACUCUGAUCCUAUUUUUAUGUGAAUUAGGACCUAUCAAGAAAAUUCCAGAAUUUUUGGAACCUUUUCCGGCAAAUAAUUCAAGCUUGGGAAGGCACGCGUCGACCAAAUAAGUAGCCAUUUGGAUUUCCACGAGCAGUACUUGUAGGAACCGCUAGGAACAAGCUUGCAUGCUACCACCUAUGAAAUUAGCUAGCCCGACUUAGCGUGUUAUUAUAGAAAUUGCGAAUAUAAGAUGAUUAUGGAAAGCUAGGUACAAAAUGUGUAUUAAAUCUGUUUUGGUUGAGACUCUGAUAAUGUAUGUAUGCAUGAGGAGGUUGGGAAACCUGUGAAAUCUGCGCUCCGGGUAAAGAUGGAUGUUAUCUUCCCGUUGAGCAUGUUUGAUAAUUUUGCAUGAACUACUGCAUGUAAACUCUUUUGUAUGAUUAUUGCUUGUAUUAUCUUUCUGUAUGAAUAGGAAGAAAUUAUGAGCUUAGAUUUAGGAUGCUUAUGGCUAAAUGAGCUAGACGAGACCCUAGAUUGGGGGACCUCUAGAAUACCGUGCAAUUAGACCCGCGAAAUGAUUACCGGUGGAACCAGAACCCAGAAUUCCAAACCCGAUAGGUUUGUGACACCAGGCACGAGAAUCCUAGAGAAACACGAAUCUAAGUCUAAGGCACCAAGUUCCACCCUGGAAAGAAUAAUAGGUCACCACGGUAACUGUAGGUAGCCCGCUAGAGUUGAGCAG